GCGCCUGCAUGGCCUCCCAUUCCUGCGGUGACUGUAUCUUGUGGGCCAAAAGCCUGGUGGCCAGCUGGGGGCUUUAAACAAAAACAACACCCUGAAAAAUUAGAGAGGGACUGACCUUUGUCCAGCGUUCCAGCUGCUCAACAAGAAGAUGCCUUGGAUUGUGGCGCAAUAGACACCCCUACACCCCUGUUCAGUGACAUCACCAGGCCCACUCUUCAGCACAAGUGGCUCUUCACACUCAUUCAAAGCAAAUUCAAAAGGAAACCAUCGCCAUAGCUCUAUGUUUCAUGACAAGAAUACUUGUGCAAAGUGAAUUAUGAAUGAAUGUUUACUUAAAACUUGUACGGCAAUUAAUGGUAACAUGACCACUGAUGUAAAAUGAAAUUAAACUCCCAUUUUGAAAAACAA